rnacentral:rRNA from 1 species
AAGUAAUGACCCGCAUACGCCUUACGGGGGAAAGGUUUAUCGGGGGAUGAUGAGGUCGCGUUGGAUUAGUAGUUGGGGGGUAAAGGCCUACCUGGGGACGAUCCGUAUGUGGGCUGAGAGGAUGAUCGGCCACGUUGGGACUGAGACACGGCCCAAACUCCUACGGGAGGCAGCAGUGCGGAAUAUUGGAGAAUGGGCGCAAGCCUGAUCCAGCCAUGCCGCGUGAGUGAUGAAGGCCUUAGGGUUGUAAUGCUCUUUCACCGGAGAAGAUAAUGACGGUAUCCGGAGAAGAAGCCCCGGCUAACUUCGUGCCAGCCGCCGCGGUAAUACAA